CCACGCCAUUGAUCGACGUCGAAGGGAUAAUUUUUCGUAUGGUCAUAUUCGCCAGAUUGAAUCGCAGCUUGUCUUCUUUCUUCGCUACCGAAGUCAUAAUCAAAAUACUUCCAUUCGUGAAUUACGUUCAAUGAUUUUUCCAAGUUUCUUGGAGAAUUUUCUCGAACAAUGGCGCCUUGACAAGCUAUGCCGAGGCAUGCCACCAUGAACAACCACCUUGUCAUUUUUCUAAAAUAAAAUAUUUUGUUCUCGUCAGAUAAAUGAAAGAUUGCAAAUAAAUAUUAUAAUCAAGAUAUAUGGAAACACUUACUUAGAUACUGCAGAUAUUUUACGAGUGACAAUUUCAAGGGAUGGCAGAAUGUAAGUGAACUGUAAAAGAACUGUUGAAUUUUGACUAACGGUUGGUCAAUAUAUAGGUGGUAAUGAUUAGGAUUGAACAUGCUCGAGAUUGUUAUAAAUAAUUAUAACAUAAUAUAUAUCUUAUUUGCUAUAAAUAACUUGUCAUACAUAUAAAUAAUACUAAUAUCUAAAACAUUUGUGGAUCGAUUUAGGAUCAAAAGCAAAAUAAAAUUUGGUUAAUGCUUAUUUUAUUAAGGUAAAGCAAUAAAAAUGAAAGAUAUCAAAAAUGAUAUUUACUUUAUUUAUUUAUAAUACAACAAAAUUUUGAAAAAUAUUUGAUUUAUAUCGAGGAAAGAUUAAUUAACAGAUUUUGUGAUCUUGAAGAAUGAUGAAUUUGACUGUUAUUGACGGUUAUUCUGAAUAUCAGAACCUGCACAAUGGAAAAAAAAACAUUAAAUAAUAAUGAUUGAAAGAAAAUAUAUGAAGAAAAGAAGAUUAAAAAAUAUCCGCAAUUACUAACGAUACUUUGUCUUUGAAUUGGUUGAUGCUCGUUCAAGCAGCCAACAGUUGAAUUAUCUACAAAACCAAAGAAGAGGACGCCAUUCUUCGACACUUUAGCGGAUAAUUGGGACUAAGUGCCAUUCCAAAAACUCCAUCUUCCAAUGUGAGACUUUUUCCUUCGAUCGUCAUUUUGAUAUAUUUGGGAUCGUAAUCAAAAGUGUUGGAAGUCAAUUGAUGAAGAGAAUCGUCAAAAUUUUGACGAUUAAAGUGGUACCUCUGUUGUCUGUUAUAUACAUCUAUUGCAUCAUUAUUAUCACGGUAUAACUUAUAUUGUAAUUAAUUAUAUUGUUCGAUAUAUUCUAAUUUUUCCUUGAUUUUGUAAUUCUUAAUAGAUAAUUCUUAAGAUUUUUUAUAAAUCUUAAAGUGAAUAUGAUUCUGGAGAUCAUUUUUUCCAGAAUACGCAGGUUUUAUAAUAGCAGUUAUUCAGUUGUUUUUCAAAAUUAAUUCUCCUGAUCAAAAUAAUAAAAAUGAUUAUAAGUAUCUAAA